UGACUAUAAUUAAAUUAACAUGUUUACCCUUAUGUUAGCCAAUUAUGUAAAGAGAAAAAGACUAGGAUAGCACCAAACCAAGUUUUUGUUCCUAAAGUAGCACUCAAGGCUCAAAGUCACAAAAAUAGGUUUCAUUAAAGAGGUAAAUAUACACUUAUACCCCUUGGGUUAAUUAAUCCAAACCUUAGGGUUUAGAGUUAAGGAGUGUGGUUUUGGAAUUAGGGUUUAAAAUUUUAUAAAAAAUAAAUACUAAAAUAAAAAAUAAAAUUAAAAACAGUUUCAAAAAGUAUUUUUAAAUUAUAAAAAGAAAAUUUGAAAAAAAAAAUAAAAAAAAAUUCGAAAAAAAAUAAAAAAUUAUAAAAAUUUCGAAUCUGAAAACAUAUAAUCUGAAACUAUAAAAAAAAUUUAUUUUUUCAUUUUUUUUAUUUUUAUUUUAUUUAUUUUUGUUUGUUUAUUUAAUUUUAAACCAAGGGUAUUAGGGAUAUUUUACCCUUUAAUGAAUGUCAUUUUUGUGACUUUCUACCUCUAGUGCUAUUUUUGAGACAUAAACUUCAAAAGGUGCUAUUAUUGAC
rnacentral:lncRNA from 1 species